rnacentral:rRNA from 1 species
GACGAACGCUGGCGGCGUGCUUAACACAUGCAAGUCGAACGGAAAGGCCCCUUUGGGGGUACUCGAGUGGCGAACGGGUGAGUAACACGUGAGUAACCUGCCCUUGACUUCGGGAUAACUUCAGGAAACUGGGGCUAAUACCGGAUAGGAAUCCUUGCUGCAUGGUGGGGGUUGGAAAGCUUCGGCGGUUUUGGAUGGACUCGCGGCUUAUCAGCUUGUUGGUGGGGUAGUGGCUUACCAAGGCUUUGACGGGUAGCCGGCCGGAGAGGGCGACCGGCCACAUUGGGACUGGGAUACGGCCCAGACUCCUGCGGGAGGCAGGAGGGGGGAAUAUUGCACAAUGGGCGGAAGCCUGAUGCAGCAACGCCGCGUGCGGGAUGACGGCCUUCGGGUUGUAAACCGCUUUCAGCAGGGGCGAAGCUUGUGGUGACGGUACCUGCAGAAGAAGCACCGGCUAACUACGUG